UGGAGGAGGGGGAGUGGCGGGAGGUAAUACCUACACGAGCUACAGAUUUACUGGCGGUCGGGUCCCUGACAUUUUCCAGAGGAUGCUCCUUAAGAUCGUGAAACAUGGUUUUGCUUAUCUCACCCUGCAAGCUUCUUUCGGUCAUCAAAAUGAUGGAUCUGUUCUAAUUGAAGUGUUUCCUGAUGAUAUUACAGUACUUGCCAAAGCGUGAAGUCAUGAAGUUUGAACAAGGCCGAGUUAUUCUGCGCAAACCUUUGAAUUCCGUUAAAUAAACAUAUUUUAACCUGCCUGCAAGCCAAAAUAUUACAUUUAAAUUAUAAUCAUAUAAUUUAUUUUUCCUAAUAGAA